AUACCUUAUGGUCUUGGGUUCUGUUUACCUAUGAGUCAUGACGCACACCUAGAUUUAAUUAAUUCGUGCUAAUAAUAGAUUGGAAUACAUAUCUUGAGUCUCAUUCAGGCUUUCAUAGAGGUAGAUAUGGGUCUGUGUCGCUCUCUGUUGUAUUAAAAAACACAUUUAGAAAUGUGUACUCUCUCUAUCAUACUUCAAAAUGGGCUCUACCUUUGACAGACAGACUACAAGGGUUUGGUUGAGCUUGCGAUAUGUAGUGAUGCAUACGAAUUGGGUUUUAAUCCAUCUUGACUCUAUUAUUUUUAAUGGAACAGAAAUGACCGUCAAAGGGAGUGAGGUACACUUGCUGUUGUGCGGAGACUUGAGACAGUCAGAUGGGUUCUGCUGUGACGAUAGACUGAAGUGGGGAGAUGAGAUGGCUCGCUGUCAGAAAAUGCAGAGACUUGACUGCACCUCGACGCUUUGAAGCCGGGGAGAAGAAAAGUUUGCUAAUCAGAGAUGACAAAGGCUUGUUACGGUCCUUCUCAAAGGGUUGGAAGUGUUUGAGGCAGCUCAGAACUUUUUCUUUGUACUUUUAUAGUGUACCACCAUUGUUGACAUUUGUUACUCGCUCUCUGCACUGUUAUCACCUCUUUCUAACCCUAUGUGAAGUAAAGCAUUGUGGAGGAGCAUGAUGACGGACAGAUGGUAGCAAAAGCUAGGCUAGUUAGGGCGAAGAGGAGCAUAUCUAUACUUUUUUUGCCCGGAAGACUUGAACCUCCACAGUUUCAAAGUACAGAGAGAAUGAUUGAUUUUGUCUCUCUCAAUUUUUUUUCUCUCCACCAAGACAUGUCUGCAUGGCACACGCUUCUGUAGGCUGACUCCUCUGUCCCUGCUGCUUGGUUCGAAAGGAAUAGCUGAGUCCCUCUGACGCUGCGUUGGCACUAUCCUCACCCCUCGUCGCACAGCCCACCCCACCUGUCCAUGCCGGUCUGCCCGCUGAAGCUUGGCCUGCACUCAGACACACGCCUUACAGGUUGACAAUAAGCCAUGGUCUGGAUGGAAGCUCGUUGAUGAUGAAAGGCACAGGGAGUUCAUCCUGGCUUGGUGUCCCUCACCCAACGAGAUGCCGCCUGCGUUUCCCUGACAUUCUGAAUUCCAAGCGUGUAUCCCAGAAUGCAAUUAGUCUUCCGCCAUUGGAUAGAGAGACACACACGUCUGCUAGCCUGGCACCCGGCGCUGGAAUUAAGGUAAGUGAGGAGAGAAGAAAGAAAUCAGUAUGGAAAUUUGCCCCCUGAAAUGCAGCUGGCGAAUAAAAGGUGGUUUAGGGAGCAAGCCGAGAAGGUGGCAGUUCCCUUUGCAGAUAUCUGAGGUGUAGAAAACAGGAGGAUACAGGGAGAUUGCUUUCCUUGGGAGACCCAUUUUUCCUCCCUUGAAGUGCUGGGGGAUUAAGGAAAUAGCAUAUGAAAGGCAUGGCAUUCUGUUUAGUGUAACCUAAUUGCACAUGCAGUAUAUUGAAAAAGUCUGGGGCGGCCAGAUUGUAUUUUACAUCAUUGUUUUUUUUUAGAUGUGUCGGGGCUCAGCUUAGCUCUAAUAUACGUAUGCUUCGGUUUGAACUCAGAUGAUCCACACAGUUUUAUCUACAAUGCAAUUGCAUCCUUGACCUCAUUUCUGUUUGCUUCUGUUUACAUAGGGAUGUCUAUGGCCAGGCCAGAUGAGGUAGAACAGAUACGAUGACUGUAUUUGAUACGUUAAGAGAGACAAACAUCUCAUUUUUGCAUGCAUAGUUCAACAAUAGGUCAGAAUGCCACAAAGUCAACCCUGCUCUCCUGGAUCGUUCUACCUUUUUAUCCCCUGUUUUCUCUCCCAGUCGCAUUUUACUUCGCCCACGGUGUGAUGUUCUGCAUCCUCGAGGCAUUUUCUAAACGGCUAAACUCACUAAUACCCAUCUCCCUGGUUUUGGGCCCUCUGGAAAUUGCUGGGUCCAGUCCUAUUGGCUUCAUUAUCUGAGGAAAACACAGUACCGCCGAAGCUCUCGUUCUCUGUGGCCGACGUGAGUAAGACAUUUACGUGUGUUAACCCUCGCAAGGCUGCCGGCCCAGACGGCAUUCCUACUCAUGUCCUCAGAGCAUGUGCAGACCAGCUGGCUGGAGUGUUUAGGGACAUAUUCAAUCUCUCCCUAUCACAUUGAGUGCUUUGAGAGGCUAGUUAAGCGAUAGUGCAGUCGCCAUCAUACCACACACUGCCGGAUCCCAUCUGGACAAAAGGAACACGUAGGUAAGAAUGCUGUUCAUCAACUACAGCUCAGCCUUCAACAACAUAGUAGCCUCUAAGCUCAUCACUAAGCUCAGGCCCUGAGUCUCAGAGGUGAAAAAGUAUUAAAUUGUCAAACUUGAGUAAAAGUAAAGAUACUGUAACAGAAAAUGACUCGAGGAAAGUCACACAGUAAAAUAUUACUUGAGUAGAAGACUAAACGUAUUUGGUUUUAAAUAUACUUUAGUAUCAAACAAUUUUCUUAAUUUUUUACGGAUAGACGGGCACACUCCAACACUCAGACAUAAUUUACAAACAAAGCUUUUUUUUGUGAGUCCGCCAGAUCAGAGUCAGUAGGGAUGACCAGGGAUGUUCUCUGGUUAAGUGUGUGAAUUGGACCCUUUUCCUGUUCUGCUAAGCAUUCAAAUGUAAGGAGUACUUUUGUGCAUUAGGGACAAUGUAUGGAGUAAAAAGUACAUUAUUUACUUUAGUAAUGCAGUGAAGUGUAUUGAAGUAAAAGUAUAUAUUUUUGAAAAUAUAAAUAGUAAAGUAAAGUACAGGUACCCCAAAAAACUACUUAAGUAGUACUUUUACUGAGUACUUUACACCACUGCUGGGUCUGAACCCCACUCUAUGCAACUGGGUCCUGGACUUCCUGACGUGCCGUCCCCAGGUGGUGAAAGUAGUCAACAACUCCUCCGCUACACUGAUCCUCAACACAGGGACCCCACAAGAGUGCAUGCUCAGCCCUCUCUUGUUCGCCCUGUUCACCCAUUACUAUGUGGCCAUGCACGUCUCCAACUCAAUCAUCCUGUUUGCAGAUGACUCUCCAGUGGUAGGCCUGACUACCAACUACAAUGAGACAGCCUACAGGGAGGAGGUGAGGGCUCUGGCAGAGUGAUGGCAGGAAAAUAACCUCUCCCUCAACGUCAAAAAAAUGAAGAAGCUGAUUGUGGACUUCAGGAAACAGCAGAGGAAGCACGCCCCCAUCCACGUUGAUGUGGAGAGUUGACAGUGGAGAGGGUAAAAAGCAUCAAGUUCCUCGACAUGCAGAGUGACGGCAACCUGAAAUGAUCCAUCCACACAGGCAGUGUAUUGAAGAAGGCUCAACAGCCAUUGUUCAACCUCAGGAGGCUUUUGAAAUUUGGCUUGGCCUCUAAGACCCUCACAAACUUCCACAGAUGCACCAUUGAGAGCAUCCUCUUGGGUUAUAUCACCACCUGGUAGGGCAACUGCACCGCCCACUACCACAAGGCUCUCCAGAGGGUGGUGCAUACAGCCCAACGCAUCAUCGGGGGCAAACUGCCUGCUCUACAGUGUCACAGAAAGGCCAAGAAAGGCCAAGAAGAUAAUCAAGGACCUCAGCCACCCGAGCCACGGGCUGCUAACCCCUAACCCCACCAUCUAGAAGGCGGAGACAGUACACGUGCAUCAAAGCUGGGAAUGAAAAACAGCUUCUAUCUCCAGGCUAUCAGACUGUUAAACAGUCACCACUAGCCGGACUCCACCCAGUACCCUUCCCUGAACUUCAGUCACUGUUUCUAGAUGGCUACCACCCGGUACUCAACCCUGCACCUUAGAGACUGUUGCCCUAUGUACAUAGUCCUUAAUCACUGGUCACUUUACUAAUGUUUACAUACUGUUUUACCCACUUCAUAUGUCUAUACUGUAUUUUAGUCAAGGCCUAUACUAUAAAACUACUGCUGUUCUACUCACCUUUUCUAUUCACACGAUGCUCGUUUUAAUAUUUCUAUAUUUCUUACUUCCUUUCUGUACAUUUUGGGGAUUUGUAUGUAUUGUCUGUUAUUACUGCACUGUUGGAGAUAGGAACAUAAGCAUUCAUUUUAAUUCCAAAACGAUAUGUAUCAUUUUUCAGAAAUGUUGAUAAAUUAGCUUUUAUUGUC